UUUGCGGCGGCGCCGGCGGGCGCGGCUAAAGCACAGUAAAAAUCGUUCCAAAAUUCAUACGGACUGACUGAAAGUUUGUACUACUGCAACGCUCUGGCCCGACAGUGCGCCAACACCUGGGUCGGCUUGAUCGGGACUUCUUCCGGGAAAGCUCACACACCCGUUCAUCACAUCACACAUCGAGUUGACACGGCAGCGACUCGAUCACACAUCCAGCGCCUCCGCCGUCGCCGUCGCCGUCGCCAGCGCCGGACACCGCUCCUACUCCCAGUCCCAGCCUCCGAUACCUUGUCCCGACCUGUCAACAAGCCGAGCGCGUGCUG
rnacentral:lncRNA from 1 species